GACGGAAGGUGCAAGCGUUGCUCGGAAUCACUGGGCGUAAAGGGUGCGUAGGCGGCUUGGUAAGUUGGGUGUGAAAGCCCCGGGCUCAGCCCGGGAAGGGCACUCGAAACUGCCGAGCUGGAGUGCCGGAGGGGAGAGUGGAAUUCCUGGUGUAGCAGUGAAAUGCGUAGAUAUCAGGAGGAAUACCGGUGGCGAAAGCGACUCUCUGGACGGCAACUGACGCUGAGGCACGAAAGCGUGGGGAGCAAACAGG
rnacentral:rRNA from 1 species